rnacentral:rRNA from 1 species
UACGAAGGUCCCGAGCGUUGUUCGGAAUCACUGGGCGUAAAGGGCGCGCAGGCGGCGCAUUUUGUCAGGCGUGAAAGCCCCGGGCUUAACCUGGGAACUGCGUUUGAUACGGAUGGGCUAGAGUUCGGGAGAGGAGAGUGGAAUUCCCAGUGUAGAGGUGAAAUUCGUAGAUAUUGGGAAGAACACCGGUGGCGAAGGCGGCUCUCUGGACCGAGACUGACGCUGAGGCGCGAAAGCGGUGGGGAGCAAACAGG